rnacentral:rRNA from 1 species
AGAGUUUGAUCCUGGCUCAGGAUAAACGCUGGCGGCGUGCCUAAUGCAUGCAAGUCGAUCGGGAGCUCCUUUGGGAGCCGACCGAGGCGGACGGGUGAGGAGCGCGUAACCUGCCCUGAUGUGGGGGAUAUCCACCGGAAACGGUGAGCAAUACCGCAUGAGGCGCCUGGGUAGCCCUGGGUCGUCAAAGGAACUUCGGUUCUGCAUCAGGAGGGGGCUGCGUCCGAUUAGCUAGUUGGUGGGGUAAUGGCCUACCAAGGCGAUGAUCGGUCGCUGGUCUGAGAGGACGGCCGGCCACACGGGGACUGAGACACGGCCCCGACUCCUGCGGGAGGAGCAGCAAGGAAUUUUCCGCAAUGGGCGAAAGCCUGACGGAGCAACGCCGCGUGGGGGAUGACGCGUUUCGGCGUGUAAACCCCUUUUCGAGGGGACGAAGCAAGUGACGGUACCCUCGGAAUAAGGACCGGCUAACUACGUGCCAGCAGCCGCGGUAAGACGUAGGGCCAAGCGUUGUCCGGAGUUCUGGGGUAAAGCGCGGCAGGCGGUUGGUCGCAUCGGUGGUGAAAGCCCCCCGCUUAACGGGGGAGGGUCCAUCGAGAUGGGCCGCUGGAGGCAGGGAGAGGCGAGUGGAAUUCCGGGUGUAGUGGUGAAAUGCGUAGAGAUCCGGAGGAACACCAGCGGCGAAGGCGGCUCGCUGGACCUGACCUGCGCUGANNNNGAAGGCGCGGGGAGCGAACGGGAUUAGAUACCCUAGUAGUCC